rnacentral:misc_RNA from 1 species
GAUGAAGAACGCAGCGAAAUGCGAUAAGUAAUGUGAAUUGCAGAAUUCAGUGAAUCAUCGAAUCUUUGAACGCACAUUGCGCCCCCUGGUAUUCCGGGGGGCAUGCCUGUUCGAGCGUCAUUUCACCACUCAAGCCUCGCUUGGUAUUGGGCAACGCGGUCCGCCGCGUGCCUCAAAUCGACCGGCUGGGUCUUCUGUCCCCUAAGCGUUGUGGAAACUAUUCGCUAAAGGGUGUUCGGGAGGCUACGCCGUAAAACAACCCCAUUUCUAAGGUUGACCUCGGAUCAGGUAGGGCUACCCGCUGAACUUAAGCAUAUCAAUAAGCGGAGGA